GGGGCUGACAAAGCUUAGACGGAUCAUUAACAAGCAUAAGGCAUACCGAUUAAAUACCGUAAGUAUUAAUAAGUGCUAAAAACACAAAAACUGCGCAUGUCAUGUACAUGCCAGCCUAUGCCUAAUUUAUUCUAGGCUGGUUCACGCGUGAGAUUCCGUAGCGCACGAAUUAUCAUACAACGGGAUUAAGGCCGUUUUAGCGGCGAAAAGCGGCACGAAAAUUUAGCCACGGCAGUUACCAGUUUCGUUUCUUGCAGCUAGUAGCACACGCCAAAACCAAAACAGGAAACUAUGUAUGUAGAAUUAUGCUCACGUGAUGACUCGGACCCGGAGGCAGUAUCCGGCAGCUCCACCA
rnacentral:tmRNA from 1 species